rnacentral:rRNA from 1 species
CGAACGAUGAACCGCUUUCGGGCGGGGAUUAGUGGCGAACGGGUGAGUAACACGUGGGCAAUCUGCCCUGCACUCUGGGACAAGCCCUGGAAACGGGGUCUAAUACCGGAUAUGACUGUCCAUCGCAUGGUGGAUGGUGUAAAGCUCCGGCGGUGCAGGAUGAGCCCGCGGCCUAUCAGCUUGUUGGUGAGGUAGUGGCUCACCAAGGCGACGACGGGUAGCCGGCCUGAGAGGGCGACCGGCCACACUGGGACUGAGACACGGCCCAGACUCCUACGGGAGGCAGCAGUGGGGAAUAUUGCACAAUGGGCGAAAGCCUGAUGCAGCGACGCCGCGUGAGGGAUGACGGCCUUCGGGUUGUAAACCUCUUUCAGCAGGGAAGAAGCGAAAGUGACGGUACCUGCAGAAGAAGCGCCGGCUAACUACGUGCCAGCAGCCGCGGUAAUACGUAGGGCGCAAGCGUUGUCCGGAAUUAUUGGGCGUAAAGAGCUCGUAGGCGGCUUGUCACGUCGGUUGUGAAAGCCCGGGGCUUAACCCCGGGUCUGCAGUCGAUACGGGCAGGCUAGAGUUCGGUAGGGGAGAUCGGAAUUCCUGGUGUAGCGGUGAAAUGCGCAGAUAUCAGGAGGAACACCGGUGGCGAAGGCGGAUCUCUGGGCCGAUACUGACGCUGAGGAGCGAAAGCGUGGGGAGCGAACAGGAUUAGAUACCCUGGUAGUCCACGCCGUAAACGGUGGGCACUAGGUGUGGGCAACAUUCCACGUUGUCCGUGCCGCAGCUAACGCAUUAAGUGC